UGCCAUUUAGAUUCAUCCUGUCUGGAUAAGGGGGUUAUUCAGCUCAGUGCUUCCCUCCUCUACCACUUAUUUGUUGAAUGUUUUGUAGCCAAGACUUUUACCCAAAAAUGAGCCGGAAGAGGGAGAAUGACACGAGUCACUUC
rfam:Otolemur garnettii contig184722, whole genome shotgun sequence.